UAGAGAUAGCUGAACCUUUAUUCUGUGCCACUGCUGAGUUACACCUAGGUUGUAACUCUGAGAUUAGAGUGAUUCAGCAACAUGUGAUAACAAACACAGUUAUCAGUGCUGUGGGUUUGGCUAAGCCUGUGAUAGACAAUGAAGCCAACAGCAGCCAACUUGGAUUAAUGAGAGUCUCCCAUGAACUGGAAGUGCUGAUAAUUCCUUAGUUUGGAGAGUGACUGAAAAAAAAUCAUUCAUACAGUUUGCAAAGGCACUUUUAAUAUUAAAUUAGUCUAGCUGUGAUGAAGGAUUGUACAUUAACAGGAGCUGCAGCAGCCUGUCACCAGGAAAUACUGCUUUAUUCAGAAUGGGUGACAUCAAAGAAAUGCCAUGGAGCAGUCAACCCAGAACUCAUAGUUGCCCAUCAAUCGCUCAGUAGUCAG
rnacentral:lncRNA from 1 species